GUCAAUCAAACCAGCAGUUAGCGCCGAAAGCAUCUCCUCCUCCGCCGAUCCCCUCCGCCUCCUCCGUUGGCUAGUAGAAAAAGAGUUUGGCCAAUGCUUUAAACUUUUUGUCCUCCUCAUCUUCAAACAGAAGCCUUAGAGCCUUCCCCUAAUAAAUAGAAAAACAUUUUUUUUGUAAAAAAAAUAACAAACAUUAAUCAACCGAAUCUCAAAUAAUCAAGUAAGGAAAGUGCCUCAUCG
rnacentral:lncRNA from 1 species